rnacentral:misc_RNA from 1 species
GUAGGUGAACCUGCGGAAGGAUCAUUCAUAAUAAGUGUUUUAUGGCACUUUUUAAAUCCAUAUCCACCUUGUGUGCAAUGUCAGUCGAUCUUCUUCAUGGAGAUCGACCAAACAUCAACCUUUAUUUUUUAACUCUUUGUCUGAAAAAUAUUAUGAAUAAACAAUUCAAAAUACAACUUUCAACAACGGAUCUCUUGGCUCUC